UACGAAGGGGGCUAGCGUUGCUCGGAAUCACUGGGCGUAAAGCGCACGUAGGCGGCUUCUUAAGUCAGGGGUGAAAUCCUGGAGCUCAACUCCAGAACUGCCUUUGAUACUGAGAGCUUGAGUCCGGGAGAGGUGAGUGGAACUGCGAGUGUAGAGGUGAAAUUCGUAGAUAUUCGCAAGAACACCAGUGGCGAAGGCGGCUCACUGGCCCGGUACUGACGCUGAGGUGCGAAAGCGUGGGGAGCAAACAGGGAUUAAGAAAACCCCGGU
rnacentral:rRNA from 1 species